GAUGAACGCUGGCGGCGUGCCUAAUACAUGCAAGUCGAGCGAACAGACGAGGAGCUUUCUCCUCUGACGUUAGCGGCGGACGGGUGAGUAACACGUGGAUAACCUACCUAUAAGACUGGGAUAACUUCGGGAAACCGUAGCUAAUACCGGAUAAUAUAUUGAACCGCAUGGUUCGAUAGUGAAAGACGGUUUUGCUGUCACUUAUAGAUGGAUCCGCGCCGCAUUAGCUAGUUGGUAAGGUAACGGCUUACCAAGGCAACGAUGCGUAGCCGACCUGAGAGGGUGAUCGGCCACACUGGAACUGAGACACGGUCCAGACUCCUACGGGAGGCAGCAGUAGGGAAUCUUCCGCAAUGGGCGAAAGCCUGACGGAGCAACGCCGCGUGAGUGAUGAAGGUCUUCGGAUCGUAAAACUCUGUUAUUAGGGAAGAACAAAUGUGUAAGUAACUAUGCACGUCUUGACGGUACCUAAUCAGAAAGCCACGGCUAACUACGUG
rnacentral:rRNA from 1 species